rnacentral:rRNA from 1 species
GACGAACGCUGGCGGCGUGCCUAAUACAUGCAAGUCGAGCGGAUCUCUGAAGGAGCUUGCUCCUGAUGAGGUUAGCGGCGGACGGGUGAGUAACACGUAGGUAACCUGCCUGCAAGCCUGGGAUAACAUCCGGAAACGGAUGCUAAGACCGGAUACGCAGCUUGGUCGCAUGACCAAGCUGGGAAAGACGGAGCAAUCUGUCGCUUGCAGAUGGGCCUGCGGCGCGUUAGCUAGUUGGUGAGGUAACGGCCCACCAAGGCGACGAUGCGUAGCCGACCUGGGAGGGUGAACGGGCACACUGGGACUGAGACACGGCCCAGACUCCUACGGGAGGCAGCAGUAGGGAAUCUUCCACAAUGGACGCAAGUCUGAUGGAGCAACGCCGCGUGAGUGAGGAAGGCCUUCGGGUCGUAAAGCUCUGUUGCCAGGGAAGAACGCCUAGGAGAGUAACUGCUCUUAGGGUGACGGUACCUGAGAAGAAAGCUCCGGCUAACUACGUGCCAGCAGCCGCCGCCGUAA